rnacentral:rRNA from 1 species
AUUGAACGCUGGCGGCAUGCUUAAUACAUGCAAGUCGAACGGUAACACGCCUACGUGUGUUGUCUAGUGUUGAACGGGUGCGUAUUGCAUCGGAACGGAUCACGUGGCUGUGGAAAUCGGAUCGCAAGCUGUGCUCAUACCUAAUGUGAGCUGAUGUAUAGAACGGGGUAGUGAAAUGGUAAAUUUGGCUUUUGGCUUUUGUUAUAGCUGGAUCCGGGUCGCAUUAGCUAGUUGGUAAGGUACAGGCCUACCAAGGCGACGAUGCGUAGCUGGUCUGAGAGGACGACCAGCCACACUGGGACUGAGACACGGCCCAGACUCCUACGGGAGGCAGCAGUGGGGAAUUUUGGACAAUGGGCGCAAGCCUGAUCCAGCAAUGCCGCGUGCGGGAAGAAGGCCUUCGGGUUGUAAACCGCUUUUGGCAGGAACGAAACGGUGUCCGCUAAUACCGGGCGCUAAUGACGGUACCUGCAGAAUAAGCACCGGCUAACUACGUG